GACGAAUGCUGGCGGCGUGCUUAACACAUGCAAGUCGAACGGAAAGGCCCUGCUUGCAGGGCACUCGAGUGGCGAACGGGUGAGUAACACGUGGGUGAUCUGCCCUGCACUUCGGGAUAAGCCUGGGAAACUGGGUCUAAUACCGGAUAUGACCUUCCAUGUAGUGUGGGGGGUGGAAAGAUUUAUCGGUGUGGGAUGAGCCCGCGGCCUAUCAGCUUGUUGGUGGGGUAAUGGCCUACCAAGGCGUCGACGGGUAGCCGGCCUGAGAGGGUGGACGGCCACAUUGGGACUGAGAUACGGCCCAGACUCCUACGGGAGGCAGCAGUGGGGAAUAUUGCACAAUGGGCGGAAGCCUUAUGCAGUGACGCCGCGUGGGGGAUGACGGCCUUCGGGUUGUAAACCUCUUUCGACAGGGACGAAGCUUCGGUGACGGUACCUGUAUAAGAAGCACCGGCUAACUACGUG
rnacentral:rRNA from 1 species